UUAACGUUCAAAGAUAAACGAGUUUUCAGACCGAUUUCAAGGAAGACAGAGUUUGCGGUUCCCUUUCCCCCCAGGGGCAAGCCCCCGGGGGGAAGCAACAGGUAAAGAUACGCAGAGUGGGCUGCAACAAACGUUGUGAUUUGUUAAUGAUCCUUCCGCAGGUUCACCUACGGAAA
rnacentral:misc_RNA from 1 species